rnacentral:rRNA from 1 species
AAGUGGGAAAAAAGCUUACUGGUAAAUAGCCGGCAAGACUGAUGGUACCAUUAAAGGAAGCACCGGCUAACUCCGUGCCAGCAGCCGCGGUAAUACGGAGGGUGCAAGCGUUGUUCGGAAUUACUGGGCGUAAAGGGCGUGUAGGCGGUGUGGUAAGUCAGAUGUGAAAGCCCUGGGCUUAACCCAGGAAGUGCAUUUGAAACUGCCAUGCUUGAGUAUGGGAGAGGAGAGUGGAAUUCCCAGUGUAGAGGUGAAAUUCGUAGAUAUUGGGAGGAACACCCGUGGCGAAGGCGACUCUCUGGACCAAUACUGACGCUGAGGCGCGAAAGCGUGGGGAGCAAACAGGAUUAGGUACCCUGGUAGUCCACGCCGUAAACGAUGAGCACUAGGUGUAGCGGGUAUUGACCCCUGCUGUGCCGUAGCUAACGCAUUAAGUGCUCCGCCUGGGGAGUACGGCCGCAAGGCUAAAACUCAAAGGAAUUGACGGGGGCCCGCACAAGCGGUGGAGCAUGUGGUUUAAUUCGACGCAACGCGAAGAACCUUACCUGGAUUUGACAUCCUUUGACAACCCC